rnacentral:lncRNA from 1 species
AAUUAUUAUCGGCUUUUUUGCAUACAAAAUUUACUGGUUUUGUAUUUUUGCAAAAUCAGAUCUUUUUUUUCAAUUUUGCAGAUUUGAACUGAGUUUUUUUAGAAACUGAUCCCUAUUCUCUCUCUAUUUUCUCUCUUCUUUUUUGCUCCUCCCGCUUCUUCCCCCUUUCCAUCCUCCAUCACCUCGCAUGUGGCCGUCGUGCUCCUCUCCCUACCUAGCCCACAUCUUCGCUGCCUCUGAUGGGUUUGAAUGCGGCACGGACCGUGGAGGUGAGGGCGUGGGUUGCGGUACAAUUUGAGACUAUGGUGCGCAGCGGGGUGCUGGAGCUGUAGGAUGAGGGAGGGAGAGGAAUGAGAAGAAGGGAGAUGAAGUGUACGGCAAUGUCCUUUGCAUUCUUCUUACUUU